UACAGAGGUGGCAAGCGUUGUUCGGAAUUACUGGGCGUAAAGGGCGCGUAGGCGGCCAUCUAAGUCAGACGUGAAAUCCCCGGGCUUAACCGGGGAACUGCGUCUGAUACUGGAUGGCUUGAAUCCGGGAGAGGGAUGCGGAAUUCCAGGUGUAGCGGUGAAAUGCGUAGAUAUCAGGAGGAACACCGGUGGUGUAGACGGCUUUCUGGACCGUAACUGACGCUGAGACACGAAAGCGUGGGUAGCAAACAGG
rnacentral:rRNA from 1 species